AACGAACGCUGGCGGCAUGCCUAACACAUGCAAGUCGAACGAGACCUUCGGGUCUAGUGGCGCACGGGUGCGUAACGCGUGGGAAUCUGCCCUUGGGUUCGGAAUAACAGUUGGAAACGACUGCUAAUACCGGAUGAUGACGUAAGUCCAAAGAUUUAUCGCCCAGGGAUGAGCCCGCGUAGGAUUAGCUAGUUGGUGGGGUAAAGGCCUACCAAGGCGACGAUCCUUAGCUGGUCUGAGAGGAUGAUCAGCCACACUGGGACUGAGACACGGCCCAGACUCCUACGGGAGGCAGCAGUGGGGAAUAUUGGACAAUGGGCGAAAGCCUGAUCCAGCAAUGCCGCGUGAGUGAUGAAGGCCUUAGGGUUGUAAAGCUCUUUUACCCGGGAUGAUAAUGACAGUACCGGGAGAAUAAGCCCCGGCUAACACCGUG
rnacentral:rRNA from 1 species